GGGCAACUGGGCAAAGUGACACCUUGUUGGUGAUGUUGAUCUUAUACCUGCCAGGGACAAAGCAGAUGGCAGCCCUUGGUUCAACCUAGCUUGAUUUGUGGCUUGGUGACCAAAGCUGUUCUAUACCUAGGACAUAUGA
ensembl:snoRNA Gm23339 small nucleolar RNA SNORA48